rnacentral:rRNA from 1 species
UGAAUACGAGAUGCUACGGCGUCGAAGCAGUGUAUGUCAGACUUCCAAGAAAAGCUCGCAAUGUCAUAAAUAAAGAAUGCCUGUACCAUAACCGACACAGGUGGGUAGGUAGAGUAUACUAAGGGGCUCGAGAUAACUCUCUCUAAGGAACUCGGCAAAAUAACUCCGUAACUUCGGGAGAAGGAGUGCCUUCUUGAAGAAGGUUGCAAUAACAAGAUCCAAGCAACUGUUUAUCAAAAACACAGGUCUCCGCUAAGUCGAAAGACGAUGUAUGGGGGCUGACGCCUGCCCAGUGCCAGAAGGUUAAAGAAGCUGGUUAGCAAUAGCGAAGCUGGUGACUGAAGCCCUGGUGAACGGCGGCCGUAACUAUAACGGUCCUAAGGUAGCGAAAUUCCUUGUCGGGUAAGUUCCGACCCGCACGAAAGGCGUAAUGAUUUGGAUACUGUCUCGGAGAGGGACUCGGUGAAAUAGACUUGUCUGUGAAGAUGCGGACUACCUGCACCAGGACAGAAAGACCCUAUGAAGCUUUACUGUAACUUGAAAUUGAAAUUGGACUUUAUUUGCGCAGUAUAGGUGGAAGGCGUUGAGAUUACUCUUGCGGGAUUAGUGGAGCCAUCAGUGAGAUACCACUCCUAUAAUGUUAGAUUUCUAACUUUGGAUCAUAAUCUGGUCAAAGAACAGUUUCAGGCGGGCAGUUUGACUGGGGCGGUCGCCUCCCAAAUGGUAACGGAGGCGUACAAAGGUUUCCUCUGAACGGGUAGAAAUCGUAUCUAGAGUGUAAAGGCAUAAGGAAGCUUGACUGUGAGACCUACAAGUCGAGCAGGGACGAAAGUCGGUCUUAGUGAUCUGACGGUGCUGAGUGGAAAGGCCGUCACUCAACGGAUAAAAGUUACUCUAGGAUAACAGGCUGAUCUCCCCCAAGAGUUCACAUCGACGGGGAGGUUUGGCACCUCGAUGUCGGCUCAUCGCAUCCCGGGGCGGUAGUACGUCCCAAGGGUUGGGCUGUUCGCCCAUGAAAGCGGUACGCGAGCUGGGUUCAGAACGUCGUGAGACAGUUCGGUCCAUAUCCGGUGUAGGCGUUAGAAUAUUGAGAGGAGCCUUCUUUAGUACGAGAGGACCGAGAAGGACAUACCUCUGGUGUACCAGUUAUCGUGCCAACGGUAAACGCUGGGUAGCUAUGUAUGGAGAGGAUAACCGCUGAAAGCAUCUAAGUGGGAAGCCCACCUCAAGAUGAGUAUUCUCAU